UACAGAGACCUCAAGCGUUAUCCGGAAUCAUUGGGCGUAAAGCGUACCGAUAGGUUGUUUAUACAGUCUUGGGUAAAAGCCGGAAGCUCAACUUCCGCGUUUGCUUAAGAUACUUAUAGACUAGAGGGGCAAAGAGGUGCUUGGAACCAACGGUGUAGUAGUGAAAUGCGUUGAUAUCGUUGGGAACACCGAAAGCGAAGGCAGAGCACUGGGUGCCACCUGACACUGCUAGGACGAAAGCGUGGGGAGCGAAUGGG
rnacentral:rRNA from 1 species